rnacentral:rRNA from 1 species
UCUGAUGACCUUAGCAAGUAGGCACCACCUGAUCCCAUUUCGAACUCAGAAGUGAAACUACUUAGCGCCGAUGGUAGUGUGGGAGUUCCCAUGUGAGAGUAGGACAUUGUCAGGC